rnacentral:ncRNA from 1 species
GUAACUUAGAAGUACUUGAUGUUCUGUGAGCAAACAGCAAUGUUUGAACACGAUGUUCAAACAAGCUGCCGCUGAGACAUGGAUGUCGAAUCGGCAGCGGUUGCGUUCGAUAUCAUUAUGUGAAUCAGAACAUCUAGAACUUCUUAGUUUC